UCCAAACAAAAGAAACGUGAUUAAGUUUAUAUGGAUGAAUAGUAAAAUCUGCCAGAAUUCAAAUCCUCCUCUGCAACUCUCAAUUUUCGCUCUCCUCUCUAUUUUCUCUCUCACAUAAAAGCUAUCGGAAAAGAAACCAGCCGCAAUGCCGGGAAUCUCCCCAUCAUGGCGGCGGCGGCGGCGGCGAUCUACGUUCUACCACCAAAAUUAGUCACCUUCCCCACUAAUUGCUAUCUUCUAAACCCAAAUAUGGCAUUGGAUUAUCCUAAUUUCAAACCUAAACCUUCAAAUCAGAUUAAACUUUGAACCCUAAAUUCAAAAAAAUCUUAAAUCGAACUCUGUCCCUGAAGCUAAUUAGCAAAUCCUAUCGGAUCUAAGAUUAUACACACAGAUACACACAACAUGGCAUGGAAAAAACAAGAAGAGAAUGAAUCAAGGUACCUGGUUCGACGGCGCCGGCGAGCCCCUUCGCUUCUAGAUGUACAAAGAAAGGCCAAGCUUAUUGACAUGGUAACUCAAGGAUGCUGCCAAUUAGUAGUUGGUACCAAGUGAUUCAUGAUUCAAGACUUGUAUCUAAAUUUGUAGCACUGUGAAGUUUGAACUUAUGUGCCCAAUGAGUCUUGAAUUGAAUGGAUAACUAACUUUCUUGUAGUUUAAGAAAAAAAAACUUGUCAUUUAAAUUAGUUUGUAUCCAUUCGGAACCUUGCAAACUAGAGACCUUGUAUCACUUUGAUGGUUGAAUCAUGUAUCAUCUUCUUUGCAUCAUCUUUGUAGAACAAAUUGGAAAUUUAAGCAUUGUAUUCAUUUUUGGUUGUCCACUGUAUGUAACCUUCAAAAGCUUGGCAUGAAACUUGUGUUGAAAUGAUAAACAUGCUUGUGGUUGUAUUUGAA